rnacentral:misc_RNA from 1 species
GGUUGGAUUCUUGAAAUUGAGUCAUUUAUCAAGGAUUCAUCAGCUGCAUUUUCUUGAUUUGUGUUUGGUUUUGAACUGGAUUUAGCUGGAAAUAGUCUAAUUCUUUUGGUUUUGAGAUGUUGAAAGAUGGGUUUUGGUUGAAACCAUGAGGGGUUUCGUAAAAAUGUAAACUUGGUGAUUCUUGUUGGAGAUGUAAUGGAGUUUAUGGCUUUG